AGUCUGUAUGAGAGAUUGUUUAGGUGGUUGUUAAGGAACUAGACAGUGGCAACGGAGCACAUGUCUGAUAUGGAGGAGAUGUGCAUUUUCAUGUACAGCUAUUGAAGAAAAAUCAAGCGGACUGCUGAUUCCAUCUCACGCCAAAGGAGGGCAGUGGUCGCCUCUCGAACGCGGCUGAGGGCUCGGGCUUGGUUUUUGGCGGACACUUAGGAGACGGGCUCGUCCGGCUUCAGCCUUCCUGUAAAUAUACAAAAGCGCGAUGAAAACAAAUGAUGAAACUACAAGUAAUCUGAACAUUAACAGGUCGAAAAAAAAAAUCACAUCCCAACCCUGUGGUUAUUGGUAUUGGUACGAUUUAUGUUUGUCAGAGCCUGCACUGUACGCUUUAACGAUACGAAGCAAGACAAAUGUCUUGUUUGUAAAUGAUUGACUGAAGAUGAAUACUGUUACUGAAAAUGCUAUUUUGGAUGACAGGUACAUCAUCAUUGAAUAAUAUACCUAUGCUGCGUGUUAUAGAUAACACAGACUUGUAGCAAAUGGACGGCAAAAAGAAAUCAUUUUCCCUUUGACAUUUUAUGUGAUAUGUGAAGUAUAUCAAUGGCUCCCACGUUUAAUUGUGAGAAUUUACAUUUUACGUGCAAAUGUUAUUUCCAGAAUUAUGUUUUAUUCAACACAACAGCAAUUUAUAAUCUAACAAUGUUUCAUGCGUGUCUUGAGUUUUGUUUCUAGUUUGCAUGACUCUCUCUACUUCUUUAUGGUGUACUGGUGGCUGUUCGACACGGUUAUGAUCUUCUGUAGUGUAAACCACACUUGACAUGUGGAAAGGGACAACGCAUAGUUAUCUUGAACAGGCAUGCACGCAGACACAGAGCUACAAGGUAAGAACUGUACUGGCCUAAGCUCCCCAGCCUACUAUACCGUGACCGCGAAACCCCGGACUGAAGGACCAAAGUGGAAACAUUAACGGAGCUCCUCGAACCCGGGGAUGACGCUCGGCGGCAGAGCGGGCUCGCGAAGCGUGACUCUGAGCUCAGCUGGCGCGAGCGGGCCCGAAGCCUUGCCCCCCGCUCCGCCUUCAGGUCACGUCUGUCGUUUCUACGGAUGUCGACGAGGCCUUCGGACUCCUGGGAAAUUUCAGCCCAGUCCCAGCAGAGCUCCUCGGUCUGACUCUUUCCAAGCCCGGGCCUGAACUGCAGAGAUUCACGGAGGGCGUUUAUAAAACCGAACCCUGACCCCGCGUAAUGCGCAGCGGGGGGCGUGAACCAUAGACGCGGCUCGCUUUCCCCGAAAACAGACGUCGCGUAUGCCGCAAUCAGCGCGCAGCGUCUCCGAUACCUUAGCGUUGCAACAAACUGACCGCGGCGGCGGCGAGCGAUGCCGUGCGUCACGCUCCAGAGCGCGCC